UACGUAGGGUGCGAGCGUUAAUCGGAAUUACUGGGCGUAAAGCGUGCGCAGGCGGUUUUGUAAGCCAGAUGUGAAAUCCCCGGGCUUAACCUGGGAAUGGCAUUUGGGACUGCAAGGCUGGAGUUUGGCAGAGGAGACUGGAAUUCCCGGUGUAGCAGUGAAAUGCGUAGAUAUCGGGAGGAACACCAGUGGCGAAGGCGAGUCUCUGGGAUGAUGCUGACGCUGAGGCGCGAAAGCCAGGGGAGCAAACGGG
rnacentral:rRNA from 1 species